rnacentral:sRNA from 1 species
CUUGGUCAUUUAGAGGAAGUAAAAGUCGUAACAAGGUCUCCGUUGGUGAACCAGCGGAGGGAUCAUUACCGAGUUUACAACUCCCAAACCCCUGUGAACAUACCACUUGUUGCCUCGGCGGAUCAGCCCGCUCCCGGUAAAACGGGACGGCCCGCCAGAGGACCCCUAAACUCUGUUUCUAUAUGUAACUUCUGAGUAAAACCAUAAAUAAAUCAAAACUUUCAACAACGGAUCUCUUGGUUCUGGCAUCGAUGAAGAACGCAGCAAAAUGCGAUAAGUAAUGUGAAUUGCGGAAUUCAGUGAAUCAUCGAAUCUUUGAACGCACAUUGCGCCCCUUGGUAUUCCAUGGGGCAUGCCUGUUCGAGCGUCAUUUGUACCCUCAAGCUAUGCUUGGUGUUGGGUGUUUGUCCUCUCCAUUGCGUUUGGACUCGCCUUAAAGCAAUUGGCAGCCAGUGUUUUGGUUUUAAGCGCAGCACAUUUUGCGUCUUACUCCCUUGAAUACUAGCAUCCAUUAAGCCUUUUUAUCACUUUUGACCUCGGAUCAGGUAGGGAUACCCGCUGAACUUAAGCAUAUCAAUAAGCGGAGGAAAAGAAACCAACAGGGAUUGCCCUAGUAACGGCGAGUGAAGCGGCAACAGCUCAAAUUUGAAAUCUGGCUCUUUCAGAGUCCGAGUUGUAAUUUGCAGAGGGCGCUUUGGCGUUGGCAGCGGUCCAAGUUCUUUGGAACAGGACGUCACAGAGGGUGAGAAUCCCGUACGUGGUCGCUAGACUCCGCCGUGUAAAGCCCCUUCGACGAGUCGAGUUGUUUGGGAAU